UGGACAUUGAGAAGGCAGAGCACAUGGA
rnacentral:piRNA from 1 species